rnacentral:rRNA from 1 species
GACGAACGCUGGCGGCGUGCCUAAUACAUGCAAGUAGAACGCUGAAGCUUGGUGCUUGCACCGAGCGGAUGAGUUGCGAACGGGUGAGUAACGCGUAGGUAACCUGCCUGGUAGCGGGGGAUAACUAUUGGAAACGAUAGCUAAUACCGCAUAAGAGUAGAUGUUGCAUGACAUUUGCUUAAAAGGUGCAAUUGCAUCACUACCAGAUGGACCUGCGUUGUAUUAGCUAGUUGGUGAGGUAACGGCUCACCAAGGCAACGAUACAUAGCCGACCUGAGAGGGUGAUCGGCCACACUGGGACUGAGACACGGCCCAGACUCCUACGGGAGGCAGCAGUAGGGAAUCUUCGGCAAUGGACGGAAGGCUGACCGAGCAACGCCGCGUGAGUGAAGAAGGGUGUCGGAUCGUAAAGCUCUGUUGUAAGAGAAGAACGAGUGUGAGAGUGGAAAGUUCACACUGUGACGGUAGCUUACCAGAAAGGGACGGCUAACUACGUG